GGUUUUCUCUGAAAGUGCAGAAACCCUACAAGAGGCCCUUCCAAUUGGAUAACAGGCUACGCUUGUGAGACAUCUGCUCAGGGGGCCAGUGGAAGAGCUUCUUUUCCUUAUAAUG